rnacentral:rRNA from 1 species
AUGUGAUCGUCUCUCGCAUAUCAAUAAGCGGAGGAAAAGAAACUAACAAGGAUUCCCCUAGUAACGGCGAGUGAAGCGGGAAGAGUUCAAAUUUGAAAUCUUAAAGGGUUUCCCUUUACGAAUUGUAGUUUAAAGAAGUGUUUUCUGUUGAGGUUUUGGUAAAAGUUCUUUGGAAUAGGACAUCAUAGAGGGUGAGAAUCCCGUAUUUGACCUUUACUUUCAACUUUGUGAUACACUUUCAAAGAGUCGGAUUGUUUGGGAAUGCAGUCCAAAAUGGGUGGUAAAUUUCAUCUAAAGCUAAAUAUUGGCGAGAGACCGAUAGCGAACAAGUACCGUGAGGGAAAGAUGAAAAGAACUUUGAAAAGAGAGUUAAACAGUACGUGAAAUUGUCAAAAGGGAAGCGUUUGACACCAGUGUUGUUUUUCUGAAAAUCAAUUAAAGAACUGUUUAUGCUAAGUUGUUUAGACUUUAUCAGCUAACUGUUUAGUUUGAGCUUUUCUUUAAGGCACUUUUCAGUUAACAAGUCAACAUCAAUUUCUUUUGCUGUAAAAAAGCUUGAGGAAGGUGGCUUGAGAUUCGUCUUAAGUGUUUAUAGCCUCUUGCCUAUGCAGUCGGAGAGAUUGAGGUCUGCAGCGUAGAUCCUUCGGGGCUAAAUGCAUUUGUGCUAAGUUAUAACAUUUUAUAGACAACUUGUUGACUAUGAUUUGUCUUGUAGCUUACUCGCUUAUGUUAUUUUACCUACGCUUAGGAUGUUGACACACGCGCGUGCUCG